AGUGAACGCUGGCGGUAGGCCUAACACAUGCAAGUCGAACGGCAGCACAGUAAGAGCUUGCUCUUACGGGUGGCGAGUGGCGGACGUGUGAGGAAUACAUCGGAAUCUACUUUUUCGUGGGGGAUAACGUAGGGGAACUUACGCUAAUACCGCAUACGACCUACGGGUGAAAGCAUGGGAUCUUCGGACCUUGCGCGAUUGAAUGCGCCGAUGUCGGAUUAGCUAGUUGGCGGGGUAAAGGCCCACCAAGGCGACGAUCCGUAGCUGGUCUGAGAGGAUGAUCAGCCACACUGGAACUGAGACACGGUCCAGACUCCUACGGGAGGCAGCAGUGGGGAAUAUUGGACAAUGGGCGCAAGCCUGAUCCAGCCAUACCGCGUGGGUGAAGAAGGCCUUCGGGUUGUAAAGCCCUUUUGUCGGGAAAGAAAAGCAGCAGGUUAAUACCCCGCUGUUCUGACGGUACCCAAAGAAUAAGCACCGGCUAACUUCGUG
rnacentral:rRNA from 1 species